AAGGUUUAAACUUGCUUUGUAAUGAUUGACAUUUGUGUGCGUUAAGAUUGAGGCUCUAGAAGGUCCUUUUACAAUUGAUUAACCGGAAUCUCAAAUAUGAUCCUUUUCUGAAUAAACGGACACCAGCCACUUAUCUUUACGUUUCUCAGUCAACAAAGGACAUAAACCUGAACAUUAUUUAUACGUCCAUAGUCAACACUAUACAUUAAUGGUAGAUGAAAACAGGA
rnacentral:lncRNA from 1 species